GAUGAGCAUGCGUCCCAUUAGUUUGUUGGUAAGGUAAUGGCUUACCAAGACUACGAUGGGUAGGGGUCCUGAGAGGGAGAUCCCCCACACUGGUACUGAGACACGGACCAGACUCCUACGGGAGGCAGCAGUGAGGAAUAUUGGUCAAUGGGCGCAAGCCUGAACCAGCCAUGCCGCGUGCAGGAUGAAGCAUCUAUGGUGUGUAAACUGCUUUUGUACGAGAAGAAACACUCCUACGUGUAGGAGCUUGACGGUAUCGUAAGAAUAAGGACCGGCUAACUCCGUGCCAGCAGCCGCGGUAAUACGGAGGGUCCAAGCGUUAUCCGGAAUCAUUGGGUUUAAAGGGUCCGUAGGCGGUUUAGUAAGUCAGUGGUGAAAGCCCAUCGCUCAACGGUGGAACGGCCAUUGAUACUGCUAGACUUGAAUUAUUAGGAAGUAACUAGAAUAUGUAGUGUAGCGGUGAAAUGCUUAGAGAUUACAUGGAAUACCAAUUGCGAAGGCAGGUUACUACUAAUGGAUUGACGCUGAUGGACGAAAGC
rnacentral:rRNA from 1 species